UGACUGUGCUGCUUCUGUGU
rnacentral:misc_RNA from 1 species